GUCCGGCUGACGAGUCCAAAAUAGGACGAAACGCGCGUCCUGGAU
rnacentral:hammerhead_ribozyme from 1 species